UUCACCUACGGGGCGCAGCAGUGGGGAAUAUUGCACAAUGGGGGAAACCCUGAUGCAGCAACGCCGCGUGAAGGAAGACGGUUUUCGGAUUGUAAACUUCUGUUCUUAGUGAAGAAUAAUGACGGUAGCUAAGGAGCAAGCCACGGCUAACUACGUGCCAGCAGCCGCGGUAAUACGUAGGUGGCAAGCGUUGUCCGGAUUUAUUGGGUUUAAAGGGUGCGUAGGCGGAAUGCCAAGUCAGCGGUAAAAUCGCGGGGCUCAACCUCGCUCCGCCGUUGAAACUGGCGUUCUUGAGU
rnacentral:rRNA from 1 species